UACGUAGGUGGCGAGCGUUGUCCGGAUUUACUGGGCGUAAAGGGAGCGUAGGCGGAUUUUUAAGUGAGAUGUGAAAUACUCGGGCUCAACUUGAGUGCUGCAUUUCAAACUGGAAGUCUAGAGUGCAGGAGAGGAGAAUGGAAUUCCUAGUGUAGCGGUGAAAUGCGUAGGUAUAUGGAGGAACACCGGUGGCGAAAGCGGCUCUCUGGCCUGUAACUGACACUGAGGCUCGAAAGCGUGGGGAGCAAACAGG
rnacentral:rRNA from 1 species